rnacentral:rRNA from 1 species
GGGGAAUAUUGCACAAUGGGGGGAACCCUGAUCCAGCCAUGCCGCGUGUGUGAAGAAGGCCUUAUGGUUGUAAAGCACUUUAAGCGAGGAGGAGGGUACCUUGGUUAAUACCAAGAGUACGACGUUACUCGCAGAAUAAGCACCGGCUAACUCUGUGCCAGCAGCCGCGGUAAUACAGAGGGUGCAAGCGUUAAUCGGAUUUACUGGGCGUAAAGCGUGCGUAGGCGGCUAAUUAAGUCGGAUGUGAAAUCCCCGAGCUCAACUUGGGAAUUGCAUUCGAUACUGGUUAGCUAGAGUAUGGGAGAGGAUGGUAGAAUUCCAGGUGUAGCGGUGAAAUGCGUAGAGAUCUGGAGGAAUACCGAUGGCGAAGGCAGCCAUCUGGCCUAAUACUGACGCUGAGGUACGAAAGCAUGGGGAGCAAACAGGAUUAGAUACCCUGGUAGUCCAUGCCGUAAACGAUGUCUACUAGCCGUUGGGGCCUUUGAGGCUUUAGUGGCGCAGCUAACGCGAUAAGUAGACCGCCUGGGGAGUACGGUCGCAAGACUAAAACUCAAAUGAAUUGACGGGGGCCCGCACAAGCGGUGGAGCAUGUGGUUUAAUUCGAUGCAACGCGAAGAACCUUACCUGGUCUUGACAUAGUAAGAACUUUCCAGAGAUGGAUUGGUGCCUUCGGGAACUUACAUACAGGUGCUGCAUGGCUGUCGUCAGCUCGUGUCGUGAGAUGUUGGGUUAAGUCCGC